GACUACACUGUAUUUUCCUGGCCGGGGAGUUCGCUUCUCUCUUACCACGGUCCCUCCCACCAUCGCCCCUUGUAAUCCUCAAACAGCUUCCAUCUCCAGAAGUACCAUUUCUGAAGCACUUCAGAGACUAGAGACAGCCAGUCCUGUGCGGCUAUUCAAACGAGAAGCGCUCCACCAAAGAGACAUAAUCGGUUCUUCUAAACCAUCAUCUAAAGGGCAACAUUCUUCCCUUCGCUCCUCUACAGAAGCCACGAUCAAAAGAGAAACCAGUUCUUGCUGUCGGUGGCACCAGCUCUCCCUCCCUCCCUCUCUCGGUCCCACAUUCCAGGAAGACCCAAGGAUGCCUUUAGCUUGGGCCGCAGCUGUGCUGAUGCUGUCUGUUCUAAGACAGACCAAUGGAGACUCAGUCACCCAAACCAAAGGCAGCGUCCUGAUCUCCCGAGGAGAAUCUGUGGUUGUUAACUGCACCUAUGAGGCUGUUUCUCCCUAUCUCUUCUGGUACGUGCAGUUCCCCAACCAGCCCCCCAGGCUCUUCCUGAAGGACCUGGGAAGGGAGGACUCGGAUGAAGGGAUCACCAAAGGGUUCAAUGCCACCCAUGACAAAAAGUACAAAUCCUUCCACCUGUGGAAACCGUCCAGCGAACUGAGCGACUCCGGGACCUAUUACUGCGCCCUGAGCGACACAGUGACACGGACCGGUAGGGGAGUUGAGCAAAAACCUCCCAGGGGCUGUGGCAGGAAUCCCAGGCUCCUAGGAGCGACUGGGGGUGGAGGGAGGAGGAAUUCUGUAGCUCAGUAAAGCUUAUGCUCAAAUAAAUUUGUUAGUUUCUAAUGUGCCACAAGUCCUCCUUUUCUUUUUGCGGAUACAGACUAACAGGCUGCUACUCUGAAACCUGCACUGGACUGUCUCUCAGGAAACCAGCAUGAAAUCGCCUCUUUCUUCUCCGGCCCAGGAUUUUAGGACAUGUCAGAGCAAAAUUCACCAUCAGCUCAGGAAAAAGGGGAAAAAUGAACGGAGCUGCGUAAUCUGCCUAGGAAAUGAAAAAUAAUAACUCCCCCCAUCCCAGGUUGGGAGGGGGGUUGAGAGCCGCUGGUCGAAACA